rnacentral:rRNA from 1 species
AGCGAACGUUAGCGGCGGGCCUAACACAUGCAAGUCGAGCGAGAAAGGGACUUCGGUCCUGAGUAAAGCGGCGGACGGGUGAGAAAUACGUAGGUAACCUGCCUUUCACUGGGGGACAACGGUCCGAAAGGACCGCUAAUACCGCAUACGUCAUCCGGGACCUCGGUUCUGGAUGGGAAAGCUGGGGCAACCUGGCGGGGGCAGAGGGGCCCGCGUCGCAUCAGCUGGUUGGUGGGGUAACGGACUACCAAGGCUAAGACGCUUAGCUGGUCUGAGAGGAUGAUCAGCCACACUGGGACUGAGACACGGCCCAGACUCCUACGGGAGGCAGCAGUGGGGAAUAUUGGACAAUGGGCGCAAGCCUGUUCCAGCCACGCCGCGUGAGUGAUGAAGGCCUUCGGGUCGUAAAGCUCUGUGGGGAGGGACGAACCGCCGGUAGUUAAUACCUAUCGGCAUGACGGUACCUCCUUAGCAAGCACCGGCUAACUUCGUGCCAGCAGCCGCCGUAACAC